CCUACGGGGGGCUGCAGUGGGGAAUAUUGGACAAUGGGGGCAACCCUGAUCCAGCCAUGCCGCGUGUGUGAAGAAGGCCCUCGGGUUGUAAAGCACUUUCAGUGAGGAAGAACGCCUGGUGGUUAAUACCCAUCAGGAAAGACAUCACUCACAGAAGAAGCACCGGCUAACUCCGUGCCAGCAGCCGCGGUAAUACGGAGGGUGCGAGCGUUAAUCGGAAUUACUGGGCGUAAAGCGCGCGUAGGUGGCUUGAUAAGCCGGUUGUGAAAGCCCCGGGCUCAACCUGGGAACGGCAUCCGGAACUGUCAAGCUAGAGUGCAGGAGAGGAAGGUAGAAUUCCCGGUGUAGCGGUGAAAUGCGUAGAGAUCGGGAGGAAUACCAGGGGCGAAGGCGGCCUUCUGGACUGACACUGACACUGAGGUGCGAAAGCGUGGGUAGCAAACAGGAUUAGAUACCCCUGUAGUC
rnacentral:rRNA from 1 species